rfam:Candidatus Kaiserbacteria bacterium RIFCSPHIGHO2_01_FTLL_49_13 rifcsphigho2_01_scaffold_33543, whole genome shotgun sequence.
CCGCCCAUAGCUCAGUUGGUAGAGCAGUUGCCUCUUAAGCAAUUGGUCGCAGGUUCGAGCCCUGCUGGGCGGA